GGGAGUGAGUAGCUAUUUGAUAUCCUGCCAAAUACUUCUCGUGCUGCCGUAGCUUACUUUGAACGAAUUCGUCAGUUUAUUAGACUUUUAUUUUGUCCAGUUGUUCGGACAGGAAGCACUUUUUGCAUCCUCAACCUAGCUAGUGAUAGAGGAAACAAAAAUGUCCUCGCUUGACAGAGUAAAAGUAUUAGUCUUGGGAGAUUCAGGUGUUGGAAAGUCGUCUUUAGUUCAUCUGCUGUGCCAUAACCAGGUUUUGGGAAAUCCUUCAUGGACAGUUGGUUGUUCUGUGGACGUCAGGGUCCAUGACUACAAAGAAGGCACGCCAGAAGAGAAGACCUACUACAUUGAACUGUGGGAUGUUGGAGGCUCUGUGGGAAGCGCCAGUAGUGUUAAAAGCACCAGAGCAGUUUUUUACAAUUCAGUUAAUGGCAUUAUUCUAGUUCAUGAUCUGACCAACAAAAAAUCCUCUCAGAAUCUGUAUCGCUGGUCAAUGGAGGCAUUAAACAAAGAUUCCUCUCCUACAGGGGUCAUCGUGUCGAAUGGGGAUUAUGACAGAGAGCAGUUUGCAGACAACACCAUCCCUCUCCUGCUAAUAGGCACCAAGUACGAUCAGAUCCCUGAAAACAAGAGGAAUGAUGUCCUGACUCGCACCGCCUUCCUAUCUGAAGACUUCAACGCAGAGGAGAUCAACCUGGUCGGUGAUUCUUACAGUUUACGACUGACUGCACAAAUCCACGCUACUUUGCUGCUGGCUCAUCUAAUGCUGUAAAACUGAGCAGAUUUUUUGACAAGGUUAUAGAGAAGAGAUACUUCAGCAGAGAUCCGAGUCAGAUGACAGGCUUCACAGACAGGAAGCGCUUCAACUUCAAGAGCCUUCACUAUGACUGAGUGUGUGAAAACACCACAAAGGCUUGUGGUUUUAGUCCUGUAUCAUUUAUCAAACUACUAUAGCUGUGUGCAUGUUGUACACUCUUGCAGGUGGGCCCUGGGAACAUUUGCGAAGUAACACCACUAAACUGACCACUAAAAGACGUUUUGCAUUUCUUUUAGUGUGAGAUUGUCAGAGAAAAUUAUAGAAUAAGACUCAAUUAAGGUGUGUUUACAUAUUUUACACAUCCACCCAUUUUAUACAUCUUCUUCCCAGUUAAUCAUUUGCAUGUGUAAAAUGUGAAAAGGUAUAAAACAUCUAGAUGAAGACAAGGAGCCUGUAUUUUUUUAAAUUUUUUUUUUGUUAAAGCUUAAUUCGUAAACACCCAGGUACUUGUUCUGUAUUUACUUUUCAUGGGCCACAUAAUACACUUGCUCAAACAAAAUACUUUCUCUGUAUCUGCUACCUAAUGGUAAACAAUGAUUUAUCCUUAAUGAAAAAGAUUUUUUUUAUUAUUACUGAUCUUUUUAAUUUAUGCAGUUUUAUAAAUUUGCAUAUUUGCUAUAUUAGCAAACUUGUGUAUAUAAUGUUUACAUGAGUUAGAUGAAUAAAAAACUUUUCUCACACGA